AUCAGCAGGUGCUGGUUGGAAGCUUGAGAAGCAGGUCUUUGUGCCUUUUUGAGCUGAACUUGCACUCUUGGAAGCUGGUUUGGAAGCUGCUCUAACCAAGGCGAGAGUGCGAUCGAGCCUUGGAUCACCGUUCG